GGGGCUGUAGCUCAAUUGGGAGAGCGCAUGACUGGCAGUCAUGAGGUCGAGGGUUCGAUCCCCUUCAGCUCCACCA
rnacentral:tRNA from 1 species